AUUCGAGGACAAAGUGAUGACAUGGGCCAGAGGGUGCUAAGAGAUAUGCUUUAGGGGCUUACCUGAGAUCAGUUUUUGGUUUGCACGAAAAUGGCUAUGGUUAGUGUCUGUAAGGCAACAUCUCACCCUUUAUUGGCUGCAUUGGCCUAUCACUGGUUCAGAGCUAAUCCUGCCUUCAUCUCAUUAUUGGAUCUGCUGGUGUUUAGCUGCUUAGACCUAGCAUAGCCAUGGCAUUGGCUUCUGAAAGCAAAAAGUUAGAUCCGGUCACCUCUAAAGUCAAAGAAUCACAGUAAACGGGCGUUACUUAUGUAGCAUUUGAUGAACCAGAAGUACAGAGUUCAGAUGCAGGGAAUAGAGAGGCUAACAAAAUUAGCAUGUAGCAUGAAUUAGCUCUUUGGAUGCUCCUUUGUGCUAAUUUCUCUCACUGUCAGCUCUGAUUAGUUAAUUCCACGAAACCCAAAUCUUACCAAUUGGGUGUGAGAACAUGUUUUCUUUAUGUUCCAUAGUUUACCAACAGGGUUAAUCUCAGAGAUGAGACCUGAUAGUGUAGGCUAUUUUUUUAAAUGCAAUUAUGUUUGUCCUUACAUGAAUCUUCAUCAUUUUCAUGUGUAGUUUACAUGAAUCCACUCACUGAACUCCUGGUAUUGGCUGAAUACUUUAUUUUAUUAGCUGUGUAUGUUAAUGCAAUCUUGGGUUUUGAUUUUUUACUGUUUUUGAACCGUGGCAGUUAGCAACUACCCAGAACACCCUCGUAAUCACAUUACAACCUUAAAGCAACACCCUAGCAACCACUCAGAACAUCUUGACAUCAUGCUGAAAAAUGUUGCAUGGAGAAAUACUACGAAGAAGAAAAAGUGCACAUUUUGUCGUAGUGCAAAACACUAUAGCAUUAGAUAUGUUGCUAUUUUGAAUAGGAUGAUUUUAUUAUAUAUAUAAAUAUAGUCUUAUGAGUGGUAGCAUUGUCCUUCAAGAUUUAAUCCUGUUAGCCCAGUCCUGCCUCAAUCCUAAUCCACACAGAUUGCUGAAGUUCCCUCUGGAUGGUCUCAAUGCCCAACUUCUGCUCAACAUUCAGAGUCUCAGGAUGUUUAACUGGGUGGUGAAGGUCGUGCCACAUCCUCCUGACACACAGGGGGAUCUGGGGGAGGAGGCGAUCGCGGCGAAUGGGAAAACAUCAAAUCGAGAUAAGUUCAGUUCAUCCAAAACAGGCAGUAAGGAAGACCAGUCAUCUCAAACAUCAAAAGAUAGUGUUCAGAAUGGUAUGUUGAACUGGAUCUCCAACGGUUUUGCCAGCGCACUGCCUCUGCCCGGGAGUCCACUUCUUACGAGAGCCAACUCUGAUGCAAAAGAUGAAGGGUCUGUAGACAGGUCUGGAGUUAUUGGCUGGAUCACACAGGGAAUUGGAGAAGUGGUCCCACAGCCUGAUGAGAAAUACAUACAGGACAAGAGUCCAGAAUCUGAAGAAGUCACAGAGGUUUAUGAGGCAAAGGACCUCCCAGAUCAGGAGGCUUUGCCACAUAUACCAGUAGUAGAACUGAUGUCAGAAGACGAGGCAUCUGAAGUGGAACCAACCGCUAAGUUCCCUCCUAAUGUAAUGAGCUGGAUAAAGAGCGGCUUCCAGAACGCUGUUCCGCACCAUGUGACCAGACCCCCAAGUUCCAGUUCUUCCACGCCGAGGUCAUCACAGUGCUCAAACAAAGUUUAUUCACCUCCUCCAGAGUCAGAAACCAGCGUGACAGAGAUCGAUUCAAAAACUCCAAGGAGGAUGAGAAGAUUGUGCAAAAUGGGGAGAGGACACUGAGAACCCUUUAAACAAAAGGAGAGAGAGUGCAACACAGCAGUACACAGUCACAGACAAACGGACAGUGGAGACAGAUGCAUUUGAAGAACAGUGACUUUGUAGCUUUCUUGAAUGACCAGGCAGCUAUGAAAAUCUCCUGAAUGUAAUGACUUUCUCUGUACUGUAUUACAAAUAUAUAUAUAUAUAUAUAUAUAUAUAUAUAUAUAUAUAUAUAUAUAUAUAUAUAUAUAUAUAUAUAUAUAAACAUUUAUUUAACUUACUGUAUAACUAACCAAAAACAAAUAUAUAUUUUUAAUAACAUUUAUGUUUAUCUUCAAGUUAGACUCAAUUUUGUAUGAAUAGCUGGCAUCUCUCAGAUGGGUGUUUGUUGUUGCAGCAGUGAUCUUUAUAAAGGGACAUUUAGAUUGGCAUGAGUGUACAUGCCUUACAACAUUGAGAUGUAAUUAUCAUUCACUUUACAGCAAGUUUCCCUAAUAUGUGUUAAAAUAAAAACUCAAAUGAAAGUGUAGAAUGAACACACUAUUAUAAAAAAUAAAUAAAAAUAAAAAAGUUGUAUUGCCUUGACUUAUAAUUGUGGCUAUAUUCUGUGACUGCUUUUCAGGCUGCUUUUAAGACAUGUACAUCACCGUUAAAAAGUUUUGGGUCAGUAAAAAAAAAAAAAUAAAUAAAUAAAUAAAUAAAUAUAUAUAUAUAUAUAUAUAUAUAUAUAUAUAUAUAUAUAUAUAUAUAUAUAUUUCAAAUAAAUCUGUCAUGCUCACCAAGGCUGCAUAUAUUUGAUCACAAAUACAGGAAAAAUAGAAAUAUUGUGAAAACCUAUUAUAGUUUAAAAUAACUAAAUUCUAUUUGAAUAUUUAAAGAUGUAAUUUAUUCCUGUGAUGCAAAGCUGAAUUUUCAGAAUCAUUACUCUAGUCUUCAGUGUCACAUGAUCCUUCAGAAAUCAUUCUGAUAUGCUAAAUUGCUGAAAAAGAAACAAAUAUUAGUAUUAUUAUUAUCAGUGUUAAAAGUAAUUAUGUGCUGCAUAAUAUUUUCACGGAAACCAUGAUACGUUUUUUUUCUGGAUUCAUUAAUGCAUAGAAAGUUAAAAAGAACAGCAUUUAUUAGAAAUAUAAAUCUUUUGUAACAAUAUAAAUGUCUUACUGUUACUUUUUAUCAAUUUAAUGCAUCCUUGGUGAAUAAAUGCAUUAAUUUCCUUUAAAAAAAUCUUACUGACCCCAAAUGUUUAAUGUUUUUUUGAAUACUUUGUAUGUUUUGAAUUAUU
rnacentral:lncRNA from 1 species